GAUACUUAGUACGGCGAGUGAGCGGUAAAAGCUCAAAUUUGAAAUCUGGUACUUUCAGUGCCCGAGUUGUAAUUUGUAGAAUUUGUCUUUGAUUAGGUCCUUGUCUAUGUUCCUUGGAACAGGACGUCAUAGAGGGUGAGAAUCCCGUUUGGCGAGGAUACCUUUUCUCUGUAAGACUUUUUCGAAGAGUCGAGUUGUUUGGGAAUGCAGCUCAAAGUGGGUGGUAAAUUCCAUCUAAAGCUAAAUAUUGGCGAGAGACCGAUAGCGAACAAGUACAGUGAUGGAAAGAUGAAAAGAACUUUGAAAAGAGAGUGAAAAAGUACGUGAAAUUGUUGAAAGGGAAGGGCAUUUGAUCAGACAUGGUGUUUUUUGCAUGCACUCGCCUCUCGUGGGCUUGGGCCUCUCAAAAAUUUCACUGGGCCAACAUCAAUUCUGGCAGUAGGAUAAAUCAUUAAGAAUGUAGCUACCUCGGUAGUGUUAUAGCUUAUUGGAAUACUGCUAGCUGGGAUUGAGGACUGCGCUUCGGCAAGGAUGUUGGCAUAAUGGUUAAAUGCCGCCCGUCUUGA
rnacentral:rRNA from 1 species